rnacentral:rRNA from 1 species
CCUACGGGUGGCAGCAGUGGGGAAUAUUGGACAAUGGGCGAAAGCCUGAUCCAGCCAUGCCCCGUGUGUGAAGAAGGCCUUCGGGUUGUAAAGCACUUUCAGUGGGGAAGAAAGCCUUGGGGCUAAUACCCUCGAGGAAGGACAUCACCCACAGAAGAAGCACCGGCUAACUCCGUGCCAGCAGCCGCGGUAAUACGGAGGGUGCGAGCGUUAAUCGGAAUUACUGGGCGUAAAGCGCGCGUAGGCGGUCUGAUAAGCCGGUUGUGAAAGCCCCGGGCUCAACCUGGGAACGGCAUCCGGAACUGUCAGGCUAGAGUGCAGGAGAGGAAGGUAGAAUUCCCGGUGUAGCGGUGAAAUGCGUAGAGAUCGGGAGGAAUACCAGUGGCGAAGGCGGCCUUCUGGACUGACACUGACGCUGAGGUGCGAAAGCGUGGGUAGCAAACAGGAUUAGAUACCCGGGUAGUC